ensembl:lncRNA
CUGCCCAGGUGUGUGUGUAUGUUCCAGCAUCACGGUGGAAGCAUAUGUCACUCAAGGAAAUCAGGACAUGUAUGAAGAUAGCUUCUGUCUGAAGUGCUCAAGUAUAAACAGGAGCAGAAUGAGUCACCUCCAGAUGAUGAGUGACUGAGGGACCAUUUGGAGGAAGGAGGUCUCUGGAAUACCUCAUAGAUGCUCAAAACCAGCAGCCUCAUGCAUUCCUCUCAAUGACUACCCCUCUAUCUGCCAAGGAACUUUCUGUCAAUGCCUCCAAUCCCCAGAGGAAAGACCACAUGAUCAAUCCUUUAUGAAGAAAUUCCAGCAUAAUCAGUCUGCAAAUACCAUUCUAAUAAGACAAAAAGGCAGCUGCAAUGAUUCAUUCCUCUGAGGCUGGAAAUGUUUGCAGAAUUCAACACUUGCAGAGAGAGAAUCCUGAGAGGAGGAAGAUAGAAUAUGCAACUCUAGCAGUUUUUGUGGCCUAGACUGGAAAAUAUCUCUGGCAACAUUUGGUGGCGAAAGAAGGCAUCACUAUAACAGCAGACCUUUCUUCUCAUUUUUGUCUAUGAAAUUAAAUCUGAGGCCUAAUUAGAAAAACAGUUGGAAUGGAAACUAGUCCUGCAACAGCUGGCAUGAUGUUUUGAAAGGGCUCUAGAAACAAGCAAGACAGGCUUCGAGUAAGCUAAUGGCUUUACACAUCAAAAAGGUGAGUGACCUACUUCCUAAUAAACCACCUGUUCAUGGGACGGUUGUAGAUAUUAUAAGUAAAAAGACCACUAAAUAAUAAGCAUUGAUCCGUCCUUCAAAAGGACACUGAGACAGAGAAAAAUCCCUCAAUUCAGAUCAAUGAGAAUGCUCUGAGAAAGGCAAAAACACCCAAUAUACUGCUUCACCUUGA